rnacentral:tRNA from 1 species
GUGGUUUUAGCUCAGUUGGUUAGAGCAUCGGUUUGUGGUACCGAGGGUCGUGGGUUCGAGCCCCAUAUUCCACCCUA